AGCUUUGGUCAUACCACCGCCUCAGUUGUCUGUGUGUGUGUGUAUUGUAUGCAUGUGAUGUAAGGUCAUUCGCGUGAAAAUAUCAGCGAGGAAAAAAUCGAAUUUUUGUGUUUUGUGUGCUAGCUUGAUGAAUUAAGAACAAAAUAGGAAAGCUGGAAGAGCCAAAAAAUAGAUAAUUCGCACUCAAGCAAAAACACCAAACGGAAGAUCCAAAGCAAACAACCAACCAACAACAUCAACAGCAUCAACUAAUAUCAAAUUAAAUAACUAAGCCUAAUAACGUAUACAUUUAAAGAUCUAUUUAUAAAUUAAUAUUUACCAUAAUGAUUUAGUAAGUUAAGCUUAAAGUACAAAAAAAAAAUAAGAAAAGCAAAGAAAAAAGAAACACCACAACCAACAACAACAUCAACAACCAACCAACCAACAACCACAAAUAAUUUAUUAAUCAUUAAACGGAGUAAAUUCACAAAUCUGUAAUAAAUGCAAAUGACAAGGAAAUAACGAAAACGACAACAACAACAAGUCACCGCCAACAACAACAACCACACAUCGGCAGCAUAAUUUACAACAACCAACAACAACAACGGAUCAAUACCAAAGAUGGAGGCAAAAUUCUUGGCUAGCGCUCUUUCAUUCCUCUCGAUAUUUUUAGCGAUUUAUGCUCAAUCACUUGCCAACGACCUGAGCAAGGCGUCCACAGAGUUAGAGGAGCCGCAGACCAUCUACUACGGUGACCCGGUGGUGAACCUGGGCCAGCCGUUCUCGAUCACCUGCAUAAUCCCGAUCACCGAACAGAUUCAUUGGCUCAAGAACGGGGAGCCGAUCACGCGGCACAAUCUGCGGCACGGGCGGGAUGAUCAUGCCUACGCUCUGUCCGAGAGUGCAAUCGAGGGUGAGAAGCACAAGAUCGAGGCACACCUGAGUGUGCGACAUGCCCUUAAGGUGCACGAGGGUCGCUACCAGUGCAACCGGUACAGCGACGGCUACAUGCUGCACGUGCGGGAUCCCAAGGGAGUUGGAGCGGGAGCAGGCGAACCCACCGAGUCCGGCUAUCAAACCAUCGACGAGCUAACGCCCAACUCUGCGGAUGAUUUCUUUACACGAGCGUGGCUGGAGCAACAGCAGCAGCAGCAGCAGCAACAACAACAGUUGCCCCACCAGUCGCACAAGCUGCACAAGUCGCAUUUGGGCUACGGAAAUGCCAGUCUGUCUGCGUCUCAGCCGUGGCAUCCGUCGGCCGGCGGAGGCGGUAUCCACCGCGUUUACUCGGCGACACCGCCCGAUUUUCCACCCCCACGCCUUAAUCUGCUGGAGCAGACGGUGGCGCCGCCAGAGCCACCGACCAUACUGUACAAUCCCAAUCCGACGCAUCCCACUGCCAGCGCCACUGCCACGGAGGCCAGCCUGCUCCUGACGACGGCGCACCACCAUGUUCACCACCAGCAGCAGUUGCAGCAGUCGUCGCAGCACACUCUGAACGCCUUCCAGCUGCCACUGCCGCCGCGACCCAAUCCCGGCCAGAAUGAGCGAUACCAGACCUAUGCACCGCACUAUGUGCCCCCAGUGGUGGUAUCUGGAGUGGGAGCGGGAGUGGAAGCGGUACCGGGAGCAGGAGCAUCAGGAGAGCACACCACCAUUUCAGCAGCCACCAGCACAAGGGCCAUGAUGGGUGGCGGUGGUGGCGCUGCUGCUGCGGGCAUUUCUGCGGGCGCGAGUGGCCAAAUGCUGGGUGCUGGCGGCCACAUGCUGAUGGGUGGCCAGGGGCAUCAGGUGCAUCUGCAGCACCAGACGCUCUUGCCCGUCAAGAUGGAUAAGCUGGUGCCAAACUAUGAUAAUGUCGAACAUCAAAUGAAAUUUUACGACAUCAGAUCGCCGCUCGUUCUCAGCUGCAACGUGAAAGACAGUACGCCGGGCGGCCUGCUCAUAUGGAGAAAGAACGGCACCGUUGUGACGGAAGUAGCUUCUCUAAGAGGUCGCUUUAAGUUAAUCCCAGACGAGAACAAGUUCAUCAUCGAUAAGACGGAUACGACCGACGAUGGCGAAUACAGUUGCGAGUACAGUGGAGAGACCAAGAAAAUCGAAGUAAUUGCCCGCGUUGUUGUAAGAGUGCCUUCAAAUACAGCCGUUGUGGAGGGUGAGAAGAUGUCGGUGACCUGCAGCGUUGUGGGAACCAAACCACAGUUGACAUGGACCUUUGGCAAUGUAACGCUGACAAACGACACAGAUCGCGUCAUCGUCAAACCAGAUAAUGGUGUUCCUAACGCCAUUCUGACACUGGACAAUGUGACAUUGGACGACAGAGGCGAAUACAAAUGCACUGGAAAAAAUGCGGCCAAUGAAUACGCUAAGAACACCACUACUCUUGCCACCGACGCCACAACUCUUCGUGUUAAGAGCAAAUUUGCCGCCUUGUGGCCUUUCCUGGGCAUCUGUGCUGAGGUGCUGAUUCUGUGCAUCAUCAUUCUCAUUUAUGAGAAGCGACGCAACAAGAGCGAACUGGAGGAGAGUGAUACUGAUCCCCAAGAACAUUGAUCAAGUUCGCUCUCUAGUUAAAACUAAUUUGAAUGAGAAAUCCUUAAACAAAAACUGAAAACAUGUGGGAGAACCUGCUGCUUGAUUCGAUCGAUUGAUUGGUUGACUUCUUUCUGCAAUCAUCAUCAAAAAACUAAAAAUUGAAAUCUAAAAAACCAAAAACCGAAAUCCACCACCAAAAACGAAAACUAACCCAAAAUAUAAACCUCGCCCUCGAUUAAUUCUCCAUUAACCCGCCUUAACUAACCAAAUCUGAUCCAAAAUGUGCCCAGCGUCAACUAACAUCAACAACUACAACUCCAAAAACAACAAUCACUGCAAUAAUGUACCAAAAUAGCUAAAAAUAUCUACUAACAAUCUGAACAGCAAUAGCAACAAGUACGGUAUCUGCAACAGCAACAACCAAAGAAAAAGAAAAGGAGAAAUUAUGAUUAAAAUUCCUAAGCAAAAGAAAGAACACACCGUAUAAAAAAUAACAAAUUAAACAAUAUAAAUAUGAGCAAAACCCACUAACUGAAAGUAAAAUGCAUUAAAACAUUACAUAAACUACAUAAAACUAGCGAGAUCGAGAAUGCUAAUGAUACCGACAUAAGAAAAACCAUCACAAGAGAAAAAGUUGUGUAUCCAUGUCCCUGUCCCAAUUUCCCUGCCCCGGCAAAACAGCAAAAUUUGUUUAGCAAAAUUGUAUUUUAUUAAUGAAAUAUAAAGGAAAAGCAAACCAUUAAUAUUAAACCAGAGGAAACCGAAGUAAAUCUAAAAUAAUAUUAAAAUGGAAAGUGAUAGCAGUUAAACGAACACUAAUAAGAGAAUAUGAAUAGGCGAUGGCAGAAUAAAGGAACUUUAGCAAUUAACCUUAAACUGAAUCGUUAACUCCAAGCAAAAAUGUCGCACAUGCCACCCCUUUUCCCACGCACCCUCCACCUGAACAACCGAAUAAUAUUGUACAUAACCUAUAAAGUUGAGAAAAGCUAAAGAAGGGCACUUUCUUCUGUCUCUGCCCAACUCACCGUAGACGCGAGCAGCCGAGGCUCUGUCUCUCUCUUUCCUAGCAGGAGGACUCUUUACAUGACUAUGAUUUUUUAGGUAGCGAUAUUUUGAGGUUAGUUUUUAGUUCGAAACGGAACUGUAGCAAAGAAAGCAGCAGAAGCAAAGCGGAAGCGGAAGUAACAGGAGCCACAAUUAAGAGCAAGAUGGCGGAGGAGAGAACGGGAUGGAACUUGAUGAAAUGGGAGACCGUUUGCAAACGACGUUGAAAGAACUUUGUUUAUUUAACUUAGUUAAUACGGUGUAUUGAAAAAAGAAAACUGAAGAUGAACUUUUUAAACAAUUAAGUAGCGCGUUAUGAGUAUAUUUUUAAAGGAUUAAUACCACAACUAGUAGCUGAUGAUGGAGAGUUAGACGAAGCGUUGGAAGCGAAAACAUUGUAUAUUGCAUAAUUUUAGGAGAAGUGGAUGGACGUAAAUCAGAUGCGUACUGCCAAAACUUGUAAAGUUCAGUACUAUUUGCAUAGCCUCAUUUUUGGUAAACAAAAACUAAAAAACCAAAAUCAAAACACACUAAGAACUAAAAACAAAUAAAAGAAAUCAUAAGCUCUGUUAAUUCAUUUAUGUUGUUGUUAAUUUCGGUUGUUUAUGUAUGUAUAAUGUAUGUGUAUAAAAAUCGAAUUGCGAAAGAACAAAGAACUAAAGCGGUCUUCAAUUCACACCCUAACCGUAAUCAUAAAUUAAAAAUUUGUAUGACUUUAAUUUUAGUUACAUACGUAUUUAUACGUUUUAAUUUUCGUAAACCUUUCGUUGUUGAUUUUUUCGCCGCCACCAAAGCUUUAAAAAUUUACAUAGUAAACUGUGUUUUCAGCAAAACGAUCAAGUUAAUGAAAUGAAAUUAUGUUAAAUGAUAGAAGACGAGACGAUUUGUAUAGUAAACUAAAUGAGCAUAAUAAACAGAACCCUUGAUAAAACCAACAGAGAAAUGUUCUUGUUAUAUAUAUAAAUAAAGAAUAUAUAUAUAAUUACUAUAUAUAUACAUACAUAUAUAUAUAGAUCACGUGUGUGUGUGUGCAUGUUCGAUUACAUAGUUAUAUACAUAUGCGAUGAAUUACAAAAAUAGAAGAAGAGGGGAAAGGUAAAUAAUAGCCUAGAGAGGAGACUUUUUGGAAACCGUCGAUAAAUUCUCGUGCAUAAGUUUUUUAUUCAUGUACAAUUGUUGUACAGUUUUUGUGGCUUAUUUGUGUAUAACAACUAUUAAUGACAACAACAACUACUACUUGUACUACAAUUGAUCUAUUAUGCAUAACUGUACAUUAAAGUGAGCCCCUACUCUCCCACUUCGCCCCCUUCGUGAACCCCCUUCUCAUUUUUUUUUUACUUCUGGGCUUGGAAUCCAUUCGACCAACCAACCGACUCCCCUAGAAAACAUCCCAGACGUCCUUGAACCUCUUUGAACUGAAAAGCGAACCCAACAACACGAACAACAACAGCUACGAUACCUAUUUACUGCUAUAUUGUAUGACGUAAUGUUACCCACAACAACAACAACAACAACAACAUGAACAACUAACCAUACACACGUAACUAACUUUAAAGCAAACCAAACCAAAAUCAACUUCGGAACACUCGUCAACUAUGCUAUAUAUAUAUAUAUAUGUAUUUAAAUAUAUAUAUAUAUACAACAACAUACUAACGAAAGGAUGCAAAAACCAAACGGAAACUAUACAUACUUAUAUAAUAUACACCUAUAUACAAACAACCACAUACGCAGUAUUGUAUGUCUUUUUGUACAGAAAACAAACGACAAACUACUAAGCCUGACAACAAACAAAUCGUGUAUCCUAACUACAACUCCUCAGAUAGAACAUAUGACGCCUCCACAGCACCACCACCACACAGUACUCACACCUGGAACACCACAUCCAUACCCCACAUUCACCUUAUGGUCAGGUCUCCCUAUCAUUUAACGAUCACCGACCGACAACGAUCCAUUGUUUACCCAUCAAUUGUUGCUAGCUAUCGAACAGUAUAAUCAACAAAUGCAGAAUUUCUUGGCACACACUUUUGAAUCUCACGCGGUAGUCGCUUCAUGAGUAGAGCAGCUAAAUGUGAACAUCGGACGGAGCUCUAGUUGAGUCACACAAGAAGGAACCUUAUAUAUAUUAUAUAUAUAACAUACAUAUUAAUAAAUAAUAUUAACAAUUACAUGUACUUUUAAUUAGUCGCAUAAGCCAAAUGUCGGGGGGAGAUAAAUCACAAGCCGAAACGAAAACUAAGACUAAACCUAAGCCAGAAAAGCGGUUCGCAUCGGUUAACCCAGGAUUGAUAGAUCAAAUUGACAGGUUAGGUUCGAAUUUCAGGAAGGUCCUCGGUUUUAUAUAAUUCCGCAACGUAGCGAGUAUGCAACGUAGAGCUUGUAUAUUUGAUAAUUAAAUCACAACUGUCUCUCUUCGACUUUCCGUACAGUGCGUUUCGGAGCUGCAAAACCCAAGAUAACAAAAAGGACAAAUGCCCCCGAAAAGUUAUACCAUCAUUAUGCAAUGAAACCCACAAUUUCAACACUUGUUAUAGCAUUGAAAUCACUUGCAGCACCCAAACACAUUGUACGCAAAAUCAGAGCCAAAUGUAUGUUUAUUCAAAAAUAUUCUUUUUGGCGGAUUCACUGGCAAGUCACACAAUUUGUAUGAAUUUCGGCUCUGGAAAGGAGCUAGCUUCCGAUCGGUAUGGAAAUGAGUAUAUGGUGGAGGAGCCAUCAGCCAGCCAGGCUGAGAUUCCUGCGAACCUGUGAACCCAGAAAAAAAAACCUAACUUUGUUUUCCGCAGGCGCCCAGGGUAGUGUUAAUGAGAUCUGUAGGAGACACUGUAGGAAAACAAAUAAUUGCCUUAGGGUUUCAGUAGAAAUAUGUAAAACAAAACAUUAACAAAUAAUUUACCUUUUAAAUCAUUUCCCUUAUCGGCGACUUUGAGCAAAACGUGUGACUUGGCCUUAAUGGGGGUGUGACAUCAGCACAUUAUAAACCAGUUAGAACUACGGGUAAACACGGUUCGCCAUAAAAACCGAUACCAAAACCGAAACCGAAACCAAGAGUCGAGCGCAGUAAAAUAUUCUGUAAUCCACGCUAGUAACCGAAUGUCACACAAAACACACACAUGGGCCGGCGGAGGCAGAUGGAAUCCUUCCGGGAUGAGCUAGAUAUAUAGGAUAGCUAACCGCAUAAGCCUUUAGGGGAGUUAGAUGAGAAGCAGAUGAAAUCAAUUAAGUGCCACGCCCCAACCCCUCUUCUAACCAGACUUCGCCGUAUGACAACCAAAUAGAACUCGUUACCAGAUCCCGUAGAAGGAUUCCAGUUGGUUCCGCAGGGCCCCUGCGAAAUGUCUUCAACUAGAGCGAACACAAAACCGUUUCAGAAUACUAAUCGAUAAAACUAUGAUUUUUAGCAAUUUAUAUAAAUUACAUAUAUACAUACAAAUACAUAGAUAAUGAAUUAUGGAAACCGAAGCUAAAACUAGACCUAAUCCUAAAUCUAGACCGAAGAGAAAUCACAAACAAGUCAACAGGGCACAGCGCUUCUUAACUAUAUUAAUUUCGACAAGCAGAACUUUUUCUAAACCUAAACUAAAACCAAAACCAAAACCAAACAAAGAAAAUGUAAAACCAACGCUAAUCUUAAACUAUAACUAACUUUUUAAACUAAUAUUGAAAUUGAACCCAACAAAGUGUUCAUUAAACUAAAACCAAAGGAAUACAUAUGUGUGUAUGUACGAGCAUGUAUGUAUGUAUAUGUACUUAAAGUUAUACAUUAAAGAAACACAACAUUUUGUAUGGCUAUGGCAAAAACAAAUCCGAAAAAAAACCGAAGAAAAUAACAAAAAAAAAAAAAAAGAAAUAAGCAGAAGAUGGUGAAAAGAACCCAACAAUUUAGAUAUGUAAUUUAAUGUAAAGAGUUUAUCGAAUAAAUUGAGAGACAAACCAAAAAAAAAA